UGGCUCAGACGGUAAAGCGUCUGCCUACAAUGCGGGAUACCCAGGUUCGAUCCCUGG
rnacentral:tRNA from 1 species